AUUGAACGCUGGCGGCAUGCCUUACACAUGCAAGUCGAACGGCAGCACGGGUGCUUGCACCUGGUGGCGAGUGGCGAACGGGUGAGUAAUACAUCGGAACAUGUCCUGUAGUGGGGGAUAGCCCGGCGAAAGCCGGAUUAAUACCGCAUACGAUCCACGGAUGAAAGCGGGGGACCUUCGGGCCUCGCGCUAUAGGGUUGGCCGAUGGCUGAUUAGCUAGUUGGUGGGGUAAAGGCCUACCAAGGCGACGAUCAGUAGCUGGUCUGAGAGGACGACCAGCCACACUGGGACUGAGACACGGCCCAGACUCCUACGGGAGGCAGCAGUGGGGAAUUUUGGACAAUGGGCGAAAGCCUGAUCCAGCAAUGCCGCGUGUGUGAAGAAGGCCUUCGGGUUGUAAAGCACUUUUGUCCGGAAAGAAAUCCUUGACUCUAAUACAGUCGGGGGAUGACGGUACCGUAAGAAUAAGCACCGGCUAACUACGUG
rnacentral:rRNA from 1 species